rnacentral:lncRNA from 1 species
CUGGUGGUUGUUUAGAUGGCGAUGGCAUGUUAGUUUCUGGUUCAGGUUGGUGGUGUGUGGAGAGGGCACGAGCCUGAAGUUGAGCUAGAGUGGGAGAUUGAGGGUCAGAUGCCUCUGAGUCAGAUGAGAUAGUGUAGUAAUAUGAGGAUGAAGGUGUUGAAGAAGGUGGUGAUAUGGGUGCAUUGAACAUUUCAACUUCAGAUAUGGGCAAGGUUAUGGUGGUGAGGUUAAAUUUUUGAAGAGGGGGUGAUGGUGGGUUAGAGGUAGGUGUUUUAGAGGUUUUGGUGGUGGAAGGUGAGGGUUUAGAGUGUGUGUAUAUCGGUGAGGUUUGAGGAAGGAAAAAGAAAGUUGCCUUAAUUGAAAAGAUGGAGAGUUAGAAGGCAGAAACUUACUUGGAGAUGUGGAAGAGGAGACCAGAGGGACAGGAGGUCUGGAUACAGAAG